UUUCCUGUGGCUCAAUUGAUAGAGCAUUCCGCUAGCAACGCAAAGGUCAUGGGUUCAAACUCCAGGGAAAG